AGGAGAGAAGGCAGGAGGUGAAGGAGAUGGCACAGGCAGAGGUACAGAGUGGUGACUGAAACCACACGCCAUGUUGGGAGACUUCCAAACAAGUCUAGAGAGUUGGCACUUAGGGAUGAAGAAAUCAUCUUCUGGUCAGUGGCCCGGACAAUGCUUUUGAUGAACAGAUGAUGAGUGACAAUGCAAGAUGAACUGUGACAAGGAUCCCGUGGGUUGUCAAAUGAGUUAAGAGGAAGGAAAAAUUCCUUUGGGUUGCCGAGGCCAAGACAAGCUUCAUUUCAAGCUUAGUCUUGAAGAUGAGUGGGAUUAAGAUAAAAAAUAAAGAAUGGAAAUGAGCAUGAACAAAAACGUGAUGGUGAAAGCAUAUUUGCUAUUUUCAAAAGCCAGGAGCAGUGCUAUCAGUGACAGGCAAACAGGCCUGGAAAAGAAGGUACCAAGACAAGGAUAUCUUCAAAAUACAGGCUUGAGCACUUAAUCUAAAGCCAGAAAAAAACAUUGGCUUCAACUGUCCAUCAAACUCUAUUAAAUAUAAGAAAGUUUCCUAAAUAUAUCAUUUUUCCCUGUUAGAAUUCAUUGUCUCUACUGAUUUCAAAAUCAGCAAAUAUUUAUUGUAAAAAAGAAAGAAAAAAUACUUGUUAAAAUCUAUUUCUAUAAAAACUACUGCUACUGGUUUCUCCCUAAAUGCUCGGCAGUGAGCAAAGAAAGAUACUGUUAACAUUUAGUAGCUGCUGCGGUCACCUUGGCAUAAUCGAGUGAACACAGACUUUAAUGGCAGUUUAAUUAGAUUUACCACGGGGAAGAUGUCACACAGGAGAUGCGAUGCUUCUGUAUUUAGAAACCUAUAUGAUGACAUGAAUAAAUAAA
rnacentral:lncRNA from 1 species